CUGCGGUAGCGCCGCUCCCCCUCCUGUCUCCCCCCGCGGUGGGAGCACGGACGCUGGUGGAGCUGCUUCCCCGGCCCUUCUCUUCACCCCCCCCCUCCCCUUCCUUGUGCAGUUGCCACUGGAGAGAAAAAGAGACCGAAAGAGCGCGGAGGGGCCGGCCUGGGGGCUCAGAGCCCAGGGGUAUCUAGCACAGUACCAGGACUCCUCCGUGGGCCAUACAGAUUACUCUGUGAAAGGUAGAGACUUGGAAAUGAUCUGGCCAGAGGGCCAACUCACAAGGAAGAAGCCGGCCUCCGCAGAGAUGGAGCAGUGCCCAGCAGGAGACCCCAGUGGAAGGAGAGCUGCUACACCAUGCCCAAUCAUGAGGAGGCGCCAGAUCAGAGAGACUGUCUCCAGGUCGAAUGAUAAAGGCUGAACAAUGUUUGUAUCUUCUUGACCUUCUGAAGUUGAAUAGCCUUCCUCAUUCAGCUCAGCUAUAUUUGAUGGGCAAUUGCUGGGAAAAAUCUCCUACUCUGAAGUCUUUCUUUUGGUUGCUCUUCUUUAGUCUGAAAAAUAUAUUGCUUUGUAAUGGGAGGGGGAGGGAAGUAGGAAUAAACUG